GAUGAACGCUGGCGGCGUGCCUAAUACAUGCAAGUCGAGCGAACAGACGAGGAGCUUGCUCCUCUGACGUUAGCGGCGGACGGGUGAGUAACACGUGGAUAACCUACCUAUAUGACUGGGAUAACUUCGGGAAACCGGAGCUAAUACCGGAUAAUAUUUUGAACCGCAUGGUUCAAUAGUGAAAGACGGUUUUGCUGUCACUUAUAGAUGGAUCCGCGCGGCAUUAGCUAGUUGGUAAGGUAACGGCUUACCAAGGCAACGAUGCGUAGCCGACCUGAGAGGGGGAUAGGAAACACUGGAACUGAGAAACGGACAAGACGACGACGGGAGGAAGCAGGAGGGAAGAUGAGGGAAGGGGGGAAAGGAGGAGGGAGAAAAGCGGCGGGAGGGAAGAAGGAAUAAGGAUGGUAAAAAUAGGUGAUUAGGGAAGAAAAAAUGUGAAAGAAAAAAGGAAGGGAAGGACGGGAAAAAAAAAGAAAGCAACGGCUAACUACGUG
rnacentral:rRNA from 1 species